GCGGAUGCCUUGGCUCUCGGAGGCGAUGAAGGACGUGAUAAGCUGCGAUAAGCUUUGGGGAGGUGCAAAUGACCUUUGAUCCAGAGAUUUCCGAAUGGGACAACCCAAUAUCUUGAAGAGGUAUUAUCCAACGUUGUUGGAGGCUAACGCAGGGAACUGAAACAUCUUAGUACCUGCAGGAAAAGAAAAUAAACAAUGAUUCCCCCAGUAGUGGCGAGCGAACGGGGAACAGCCCAAACCAUCCAUGUUACGGCAUGGGUGGGGUUGUAGGACUACGCCGUUGCAUGAAGACAUCAGAGAAGAACUUUCUGGAAAGAAAGACCAUAGAGCAUGACAGUUGCGUAUUCGAAUGUUGUCGAAGCAUAGUAGUAUCCUGAGUAGCGCGGAGCACGAGGAAUUCUGCGUGAAUCUGCCGGGACCAUCCGGUAAGGCUAAAUACUCCCGAGAGACCGAUAGCGAACCAGUACCGUGAGGGAAAGGUGAAAAGCACUUCGAACAGAAGAGUGAAAUAGUUCCUGAAACCGUGCGCCUACAAGCGGUCGGAGCUCGUUAAUGAGUGACGGCGUGCCUUUUGCAUAAUGAACCUACGAGUUGCCUUUGCCGGCAAGGUUAAGUGUGACGACACACGUAUCCGAAGCGAAAGCGAGUCUGAACAGGGCGUAUAGUCGGCAGUGGCAGACGCGAAACCAAGUGAUCUACCCUUGGCCAGGUUGAAGGCUGGGUAACACCAGCUGGAGGACCGCACCAAUAAGCGUUGAAAAGCUUCUGGAUGAGCUGAGGGUAGGGGUGAAAGGCUAAUCAAACUUGGAGAUAGCUCGUACUCCCCGAAAUGCAUUUAGGUGCAGCCUUGCGGGUUACUGAUGUGAGGUAGAGCGACUGAUAAGAUGCGAGGGCUUCACCGCCUAUCAAGUCUUGACAAACUCCGAAUGCGCAUCAGUUCUACCGCAGGAGUGAGGGCAUGGGUGCUAAGGUCCGUGCCCGAGAGGAGAAGAAUCCGGACCACCUGCUAAGGUCCCGAAAUGACAGCUAAGUUAAACUAACGAAGUCUGACUGCUAAGACAGCUAGGAUGUUGGCUUGGAAGCAGCCAUUCAUUUAAAGAGUGCGUAACAGCUCACUAGUCGAGGAGUCGGGCGUGGAUAAUAAUCGGGUAUCAAGUUGUCUACCGAAGCAGUGGGAUCAUUUAUAUGAUCGGUAGGGGAGCAUUCCAGUCAGCGUCGAAGGCGUACCGUGAGGUAUUCUGGAGCGUCUGGAAAAGCAAAUGUAGGUAUAAGUAACGAUAAAGGGGGCGGGAAACCCCCUCGCCGAAAGACUAAGGUUUCCUGAUCAACGCUAAUCGGAUCAGGGUCAGUCGGGUCCUAAGGCUCAGCCGAACGGCGAUGCCGAUGGCAGAAACGGUUAAUAUUCCGUUACUACCUUCAGGAGUGACGUGGAGACGCAGUAGUGACAGUGCCGCCAUCUGACGGAAUAGAUGGUUGAAGGGUGUAGGAGUCGAUCAUGGCAGGCAAAUCCACCAUGAGAUCCGAACCUGAUAGUAUGCCGCGUCCUUCGGGACAAGGCAAUAGUGCGCGUAAGCAUGCUGCCGAGAAAAUCCGCUAAACUUAAUCCUGCAGGUACCCGUACCGCAAACGGACACACGUAGUCGGGAUGAAUAUUCUAAGGCGCUUGAGUGAUUCACGGUUAAGGAACUAGGCAAACUGACCCUGUAACUUCGGGAUAAAGGGUCCCUACCCUUUUAUGGGAGGGCGCAGAGAAUCGGUCCAGGCAACUGUUUAACAAAAACACAGGGCUGUGCCAAAUCGAAAGAUCCAGUAUACAGCCUGACACCUGCCCGGUGCUGGAAGGUUAAGAGGAGAUGUCAUCGAUAAGAGAAGCGUUGAAUUGAAGCCCCAGUAAACGGCGGCCGUAACUAUAACGGUCCUAAGGUAGCGAAAUUCCUUGUCGGGUAAGUUCCGACCUGCACGAAUGGUGUAAUGAUCUGGACACUGUCUCAACCGUGAGCUCAGUGAAAUUGUAGUAUCGGUGAAGAUGCCGAUUACCCGCGAUGGGACGAAAAGACCCCGUGAACCUUUACUAUAGCUUAUCAUUGAAUCUGGGCACGUGAUGUGUAGGAUAGGUCGGAGGCUUUGAAGCAGGUACGCCAGUAUUUGUGGAGCCGCUGUUGAAAUACGACCCUUUAUUUGUUUGGAUUCUAACCCGUGGAACGGGGACAUUGAUUGGUGGGUAGUUUGACUGGGGUGGUCGCCUCCAAAAGCGUAACGGAGGCUUCUAAAGGUGCCCUCCGGCCGAUUGGUAACCGGCCUUAGAGUGUAAUGGCAUAAGGGCGCUUGACUGGGAGACUAACAAGUCGAUCAGGUAGGAAACUAGAGCAUAGUGAUCCGGUGUUUCCGUAUGGAAGGGACAUCGCUCAAAGGAUAAAAGGUACUCCGGGGAUAACAGGCUGAUCCCUCCCAAGAGCUCAUAUCGACGGAGUGGUUUGGCACCUCGAUGUCGGCUCGUCACAUCCUGGGGCUGGAGAAGGUCCCAAGGGUUGGGCUGUUCGCCCAUUAAAGUGGCACGCGAGCUGGGUUCAGAACGUCGUGAGACAGUUCGGUCUCUAUCUAUCGUGGGCGCAUGAAAUUUGCGUGGCUCUGACACUAGUACGAGAGGACCGUGUUGGACAGACCUCUGGUUUGCCGGUUGUGCCGCCAGGUGCAUUGCCGGGUAUCUAAGUCUGGAUCGGAUAAGUGCUGAAAGCAUCUAAGUACGAAGCCGGCCACAAGAUUAGAUUUCUCAGGGUCGUUGUAGACUACGACGUUGAUAGGAUGCAGGUGUAAAGGUAGAGAUACCAAAGCCGAGCAUUACUAAUUGCCCGUUCACUUUCCUUA
rnacentral:rRNA from 1 species